GACGAACGCUGGCGGCAGGCUUAACACAUGCAAGUCGAACGGAGUGGCGGACGGGUGAGUAAUGCUUGGGAAUCUAGCUUCUGGAGGGGGAUAACUACGGGAAACUGUAGCUAAUACCGCGUACCAUAGGAUGAGCCCAAGUGGGAUUAGGUAGUUGGGGAGGUAAAGGCUCACCAAGCCGACGAUCUCUAGCUGGUCUGAGAGGAUGACCAGACACACUGCGACUGAGACACGGCCCAGACUCCUACGGGAGGCAGCAGUGGGGAAUAGGGGACAAUGGGCGAAAGCCUGAUCCAGCCAUGCGGCGUGUGUGAAGAAGGUCUUCGGAUUGUAAAGCACUUUAAGUUGGGAGGCGUUACCAACAGAAUAAGCACCGGCUAACUUCGUGCCAGCCGCCGCGGUAAUUC
rnacentral:rRNA from 1 species